GUCUACCAUGUCUAUCAGACCCAAAGAUUGCAGAUCCCAUUUGAUCCUGGAUGCUAAGCAGAGUCCACUCUUCAUAGUACAUGUAUGGGAGACCACCAAUGAAUAUCAAGUGCUGUAGGCU
rnacentral:rRNA from 11 species